rnacentral:ncRNA from 1 species
ACGAUAAUGGGUGUGAAAAACACCCACGCCGAAAGACCAAGGUUUCCUGCGCAACGUUAAUCGACGCAGGGUUAGUCGGUCCCUAAGGCGAGGCUGAAAAGCGUAGUCGAUGGAAAACAGGUUAAUAUUCCUGUACUUCUGGUUAUUGCGAUGGAGGGA